GGGUUCUGGGAUCCAAACUCCAAGGCUCUUCAUGACUGAGCAGCAAGUGCCUCCAACCACAGAACCAUCUCUCUAGCUCUGAACCGUGUCUACCUUAUGUGCCUGUAAGUGUCCACCCUUCUACCUCCAAGAAGCCUGUGACGGUGUCUCCAGCAUGUGUGAGGCAUAUUAUUUUGUUGAGGACUGAGUUUUGGGAUGUGAGUUGUUUCCUCUAGGGACUGGUUGUGUGUGUGGGAUGCCGUGGCUCACUCAGGCUGCUCACUGAAGUGUGAAAUGCUGCAGCAGGACGGUGGCACGCUAAGGUCACAGCUGGGGCUUGUUAUGGUUAACUUUUGGACGAGAAGACUGUCUGCUCUGAGGCAACACCAACCUCCAUCUGCACGCAGCCUGUCCUGAAACAAUGGUGGCCCUGUUCUGAAGCUAGAAUCGCUUAGCACUGCCUUCCUCCACAUACAGCGUAUGCAGCCAUGACAGCAACACGGCAGCUGGCUGGUGGAUGGCAUACACGGCUGCCCUGGACAGAUGCAGCAGCAGGUGUCCACAGGUGUCCCAUCUCCCUGCAGCUGGAUCACAGGUGGGCCUGAGCCUCCUGAGAUGGAUGUGGGAGCAGAACUCGGGUCCUCCCGCAAGAGCAGCAGGAGCCACCGCCAUGAAGAUGUGCCGUGGUCAGCAGGCAUCAGAUGUGGGCCUACCGGAAGGAACUAGAGUGAGGUACUGGUUCACACAGCAAGGGACCCGAUGAGGACUUCGACAGAAACAAGCCCAACCGAUGAAAACCGUCAGGACACGUGAAUGGAGCCAUGUGAAUCUCCUGUCUGGGGUCUGCCCGUAUGCUUUGAACUGGGGCCCCCAGUGGGAUUCUCGAAGUUCAGCAGUUUGGAGACCCCCAGCUUCGGGUAGAAGGGGACCAGCCAUGGCCAUUGCCUUCGAGGUGGUCCUGACGGCUGUGUUUUUGCCAUGUCAGGCGGCGUAACCCGUAAUACAGAGGUGCCGUGUCUGUUUUGCAAUGAGGGUCAUCUUUUUUUAAGCGUGUGAGCAUCCCUUCAGGAGCUGACCUUUAAUUCUGCCCGCCCAGAGCCCGCUGUUUAAAAUUAGAACUCUUGGCCGGGGCUGCUGGAUUCUGCUGUCUGGGAAACGGCAUAAACAAAACGCACCUGCUGCGGGGACACGGAGUGUGUCCUGAUCCGGAGCGGCUGUGCUCCGCUGGCUCCUGCUCCUGGGGUUCAGCGGAGCGGGGCCCUGCUGCUUCUGACGGGCUUGGCUCCACCUGCCAUGCUUCAGUGUGGACUCUCCCACUCGUGUGUAGGCGCCUCUGAGGGAUGUUCCUACAGGCACGGCGGCACCGUGAAUUGGUUGGAACUGGUCCUGGGAACAGGGACAGCAAGGGUUCACAGCCAGUCAGGAAAGACCUCGGCCUAGGCUCUUAAGUAGAAGUGCGGAUGUGAACACAACUGGAUGUCAGGGGAGAUCGGCGAGAAUUCCUGAUGUCCAGGGAAGUGAAUGAAGAGCUAUUUAAGCCUGUGCUAUGCUAGGCAUUUCCUAUUGCCUCAGUGUUAGGGGGUGGGGACCUGUUCUCCUCUUAGUACAGGGGAUCAGAGAGGUGGUUACUUCCCUCAGGGUGCAUAGCUGGGCAGUUGCAAAACUAAGGUUGAUGCUGAGUGAGUCUGGGCCCAAAGCCUGUGUCCUUCAAGUUCCACCACCCAGUAGGUACACUGAUGGUCUGGAUGGUUCUGUCCCCUCCUCUAGAGGGUGUCAUUCACACUUCGGCAUACAAGGCUUUUUGUUCCACUCUUGACUGCAUCACUGCUCUAGGGAAGGGCAGUAAAGCAGUUGGUUGGUUGAUACAACUUUCUUUCGUUCACUUGUUAAACAGUUACUCAGGGGUGCUAAGGAUGUCAGGGUUGAGUCUGUCUUCUGCCUCUGUGUGGCUCUCAGUCAGUGUGACUUAGAGGCACCUGUGGUCCAGGAUGACAGGGCUGAUUGCUGGGCUGAGAAUCAGGGAGGACUUCUUAGAGGAGAAGGCAGCUGAGCAGGGCCUGGCAGGCUUAGUAAGAGUUCACGAGACAGGGGUCAGGUGAGAGGAAGAGAGAAACGCCUGCUGAAGGCAAAGGGGUGACCUAGGCAAGGUCUCCAGGACCUCAGGGGUCCCCUAUGAUGGGUGUGAGGAACUUGGGAGGUAUGAGGUUGGCUGGUGGCUAGCAAGGUGGGGAUACUGGAGACUCUUAAACCCGCAACACACACACCUGUGUACAGCAAGGAGGAUGGGGCUCUGGGGCCUGCCUGUGGGGACAUCCCAGCUGGCCCAGUGAUCCUGAGGACAAAAGGGCUGAUAUACGAUCUGAUGGAAGGGUUCUUGUCAAGGAUGAAUACGGAUCCCUGGGCAUACAUCUCCUCCACUGUGAGCAGGUCAGGCUUAGCCAGUCUACCUCAAAGAGCUCGCUGGGUGUGCAUGGGGCAUGAAGGGGCCGGGCAAGGACACGCUGGCCUGGUUGGUCUGCUCCGGUGACAGCUGGGUGGGUCCUUCCCACAGGCCAGUUGGGUGGGGCAGGGCCAUGGAGACAGGCGCUGAGUACCUCUUGUUAGUCUGUACCUGGCCUUGUUCCCUUUCUCCCCUUUACCUCUCCAGGGAUGUGUUACACAUAGGAGAAGCCUGGGCCCCCUUUGCCGGCAAGAAGCUGCAGGCUCGCUCCAUCGAUGGACUGCAGAAGUUGGUGUUCAGUCUACCCAGCAUCUAUAGCCAGCACCUGAGAACCAGGAGAUGGGACCUGGCCUCAAUGCCAGCACAGGCUAAGGUGUCUGAAGUAAAGGCAACGCCUAGAGAAAGCUCCUUCUGGUCAAGCUUGUACUGGAUGUUCUGACAGCUGCCGAUUCAAGCCUCUACCCUUUGUCCCCUGCUGGUCUUUCUGCUUGGAUGUUCUAAUGUUUGUCUGGAAAACUCCCAUUCAUCCACCAACACCCAGAUUAAGCAGCACCUUCUCUAGAGGCUGGACUUGAUUUUGCCUUAAGCAGAACUAAGCGUCCUUCCUUUGGGCCAUCUACACCCUUUGCAACAGCCUUCUAAGGCACCCCUUUAUACCAAGUUGUGACUCCUGGAAGCUUGUCUGUCUCCCCAGCUAAAUAAUUAACCCCCCAAAUAGACUAUUUAUGUCUAUCCCUGGAACGCCAGCCUUUACCGAGGCCCAGAACAUGGUAGGUGCUCAGGAAAGCUUAGAGGAACUAACCCCAGGCUGUUUGACUGGCAUGGCUCCACAGUCUUUGUGGAGGCUGUUUUAAGCACUUGUCAUCUGUGUUGGCUUUAUUCCUAUAUCAUUUAAGCAACUGAACCUUCCAGAGGUGUGUUGAUUAGUUUGUUGACAACUGGACACAAGCUGGGGUCAUCUGGAAAGACAAACCAUGAUUGGAAAAACAAAAAACAAAAACAAACAAAAAAAAAAACCCCUCCAUCAGAUUGCCUGGUAAGCGAUUCUGUGGGGGCAUUUUCUUGAUUAAAGAUUGAUGGGGGAGGGCCCAGCCCACUGUGAGCAGUGACACCCCUGGGCAGAUGGCCCUGGUUUUUAUAAGAAAGCAGGCUGAGCAAGUCCGAGGAGCAAGCCAGUGAGCAGCAUCUCUCCGUGGCUUCUGCUUUAGUUCCUACCUCCAGUGUCCUGCCUUGAUGGACUGGAAACUAUAAGAUGCAACAAGCCAUUCCUUCUCAAAGCUGCUUUUGGUAAUGGAGUUUGUCACAGCAACAGAAAACAAACUAGGACAAGAGGAAGUGUGGUCAGUGACCAGGCAGAUGCUCUCCAGACCCACAUGAGGGGCUUUGAAAUGGAUUUUGGGUAAAAUUUUAAAAAUGAGUAUUUGCUAAAAAACAAAACAAAACAAAACAAAAAGGAAAACAAAUAGACAAACCACAACAAACCCAUGUGCUUCUGGUAAAUUUUUGUAAUUUAUACUUCCCUGUUCCUCUGUAGUCUUAGGUCUGCAUUCAUUUCAAAACUUUUUAUCAUCAUCAUUAUUUUAUUUAGUUUUGGUAUUUAGAAACAAGGCCUCGCUAUGCAGGCAUGGCCAGCCUGGAACUCACUCUGUAGACCACGCUGGCCUUAAACUUAGAGAUCUGCCUGCCUCUGCCUCCAGACUAAAUUCUAGUUCCACCAACCUGUCUCAAAUGUUUUACAUUAGUUACAUUUUAUACUAAUGUGAACAACAACAAAAAGCAAAAGGAAUUGUUAAUUAAAUUCUGAUCAUUUCUUUCUGUUCCUACUUUAAAAAAGCAAUUUGUUUGUUUGCUUUCAUGUGUUUAUUUUGUCUGCAUGCAUGUAUGUGCGCCACAUGUAUGCCUGGUGCCAACAGAGGCCAGAAGAGUGUGUCCAAUCCACCAGAUGACUGUGAACUGCCAUGUGGGUGCUGGUCCUUUGCAGGAGCAACAGGUCAUUUGCUGAGCCAUCUCUCCAGCCCCUGGGGUUUAUUUCCUUAAGCUUCAAAUUACAUAGGUAAACCAGACUGAAAUGAUUAGUGCCCGAUUUAAAUUUAAAUGUCAAGUGACAAUAGUGUUGUAAGUCCUCUGUCAUGAGAGGGACUUUCCUGCGAGCCAGGGGGGAGGGGGGCGGGGGGGCUGUUGCCGAAAAAGGAUGGCCGACAUUCCUCUUCCCCUCAUCUAUUUCCAUCCAGCAGCCAGAGGCUCUCAGAAAUAGAUGCUAGGCCAGAUCCUGCUGCCCACCUGUGACCCCCUAAGGCUUCUGUUACACAGACGUUAAUAAGCACCCAGCCUGCUCUUCAGAUGCUUCCCAGAGACCGACCCCAAGCCUGCUCUGCUCUGGUGGUCUUCCUUGCCUCUAGCUGGUCACCUUCACUGACACAUGGAUGGCCAUUUUCCAAGCCCCCUUCCGGGGGGCCACCCUCUCACCAGCCCCUAGCUAGGCUGGAAGUUCUAAAUUCAGAGGUCCUGGGGAUGGGGGCAGGAGAAUCAUCCCAGGACUCUACAGACAGACAUCAGGUCCACCCAUAAGGCUUCACGUGUGCAUAGAGCCUGAGCUAUGUUCCUCAAGCUAGCUCUACAAAACACACCACAGCGAACACUGCACACACGUGUGACAGCCACCGUAUACAGUACUGGAUUAUUUACAGAGUGAUGGUAAGAAGGUGUGUGUUCAGUAUAGACAUAAUAAUCUUUGGAGGCAGCCUCUCUCACCCUUGUAGCCCAAGCUGGCCUCCAACUUGUCAUCCUCCUGCCUCCACCUCCCCAGCGCUGCUAUUGUAGUUAUGCACCACUGUGCUCGACUCAGACACAAUCUUAAAAUUCUCUAUUUUUGAUCUACAGUUGGCUGGGCCCAUGUGUGUGGGACCCACGGGUACAGCCAGCAGGCUGUGACAGUCACUUUGAUGCUUACUGUUAUUAUUAUUUUUUUAAUCCUAUCUUCCCAAGAACUCUUUUGGGGACUUCUAUGUCAUUGGAAGCCCCCGGCUCCCAUCAGUGGCUGAAGGGGCUUGCUGGGCACAAGUGUUAAGGCCUGGUCCCAGUAUAGCGUUCAUAACUGGACAGAAACAAGCCUGUCCCCAGGCAGCUGCACAGCCUCGGCUCCCCCUGCUCGUGGGUCGGCACAGAAACCUGAGCACAACUGGCUGGCUUAGUCACCCUCCGCGCCUGGCAACGCUGGCAGCAAAGGCCUCUGUGCCCAAACACACCACAACAGCCCGGCGUCACCAGGUUCCAGAGGCAGUCCAGGCAUUUGGAGCUCGCUUUGAAGGGGAGCUGAGGGGGGCAGCAGUGGGCAUGGGUAAGAGCAAGGUCAUCCAGACUGCGGACAGGCAGCGGCCAGCAAUAUGGGGCCUCCGGGGUACAACAUGAGUCUUGAGAAAAGCUGCCUCGCAGAAUGUGCUCAAGACCGUUGAAAAAUAAAAAUGCCGCUGGCAAACCAGAGCCACCACUGGAUUGUGAAACCAGCUUCUCUGCGUGUGUGUGUGUGUGUGUGUGUCUGAAAAGGGGAAUUUUCUAAUUUCUAUCUUUUGGGUUUUAUAAUAGCUUCGUUGAGAAUUUCACAUGCCAUAUGAUUUGCCCCCGUAAAAUGCAAGAUUUUGUGGUUUUCCUCAUAGCUAUACAUGGCUGCUUGUUACUGCUCACUUCUCUCCCCUUUCUCCACCCCUGCCCACGUCCCUCUUUGGCCUUAGACUGUUGGAAUCUACCUUCCCCCUCUCUCUUUGGUUUGCCUAUUCUGGACAUUUCACAGAAAUAAUAUGUGGCCUUUGGGGGU